AGGGCACCACCAGGAGUGGAGCCUGCGGCUUAAUUUGACUCAACACGGGAAAUCUCACCAGGCCCGGACACCGGAAGGAUUGACAGAUUGAGAGCUCUUUCUUGAUUCGGUGGGUGGUGGUGCAUGGCCGUUCUUAGUUGGUGGAGCGAUUUGUCUGGUUAAUUCCGAUAACGAACGAGACUCUGGCCUACUAACUAGACGUUGGAUCCCUUUGUGGGUCCAUCGCAGCUUCUUAGAGGGACGGGCGGCGUUUAGCCGCACGAGAUUGAGCAAUAACAGGUCUGUGAUGCCCUUAGAUGUUCUGGGCUGCACGCGCGCUACACUGAAGGAAUCAGCGUGUGUUCCCUAUCCGAAAGGAUUGGGAAACCCGUCGAACCUCCUUCGUGAUGGGGAUUGGGGAUUGCAAUUAUUCCCCAUGAACGAGGAAUUCCCAGUAGGCGCGAGUCAUAAGCUUGCGUCGAUUACGUCCCUGCCCUUUGUACACACCGCCCGUCGCUACUACCGAUCGAGUGAUUUAGU
rnacentral:rRNA from 1 species